ACUGCCACCUUUAAACUAGCUGAGUUUACCGAAGUAGCUAGCUAACUAUCAGUUUAACAUGUAGCAUGUACUGUUUAACCAUGAAAUUUAAAUGUAAAAUACGGUAAAAUAAUUAAUAGGGCAUAUUUAGAUGGGUAAUAGGGUAAAACCCAGUGCAUUUAAGAUAAAAAUGGGUUGAAAUAUGACGGAGCGCUAAGAGGGAGACUUCUGUGUCCAUUCUUCCAUCCGGUAAUCCCCAGCGGUCAGGCCGGGCAGCCUGACCGAUCCGGCGCCUACUUGCUGCGCCUAGCUGCUGCGCGGUCUGACCGCUCGUGGAGUUUUUCAUGUCUGACUUUAACCGCAUCUAAUACUGUAUUACGGCGUGAGCGCAACAGCGACAACUUAAUAUCGAUGUGUAAGCAGCCUGAGUGGUAGGGUGUUUUCAUCUGAACCCUUAAAACCUCCAGCAGGCUAUGCUGCACUAUUGACGUGUUAGCGCGCGGCGCUAACAACUUAGCAACGUGACAUGUCUCUGAGAAAGCGUAAAACACGGACGCUUCUUCUGAAGCGGAAAAUAACACCUCUUCUUAAGCAGAGCAGGAUGUCGCCUCGGCUCGUUCACGGCCGAGCCGGACUGAGCUCGAUAACAUUGACCAAGCACAGCCACUGGGCCGUUGUAGCUGCCACCAGGCCUGCUGAAGGAACUCCAGCGGGUUUCAUCAGACUCGUAAAGUUUCUUGUUUUUGCUGGGGAUUUCUGUAUUUUACCGCUCCCUCCUGCAGUCUUCCCCUAUUAAAAUUUAAAAUGUGUAACUUUAUGUAUUGUGAUGAAUGACUAAUAUUCAUGUAAAACUAAAACGUUAGGCAUUUAGGGGGAAAAAACAAAAUAAUAAACAUUAUACAGAUGUCAAAUAAAUCAAACUGUAAUUAAACUAUAUAUUUUCAAAGUCAUAUAGACAGCAUGAUGGUUUGUGUGAUCCGCGCGGUUUCACUUACACCCCUUUAAUGAUCAGGCUGUUUUUUAUUAUUUUUAUCAGCUGAUAGCAGUUAAAAUUAUGGUAAAAAAUACUUUUAUCUGUUUUUGAUAACUUAAUGCCCAGGAAGAGCAUCUUCCUGGGCAUUAAAUAUAACCCAAAUGUUUUAUUAUGAGCAGAUCUGAUGAAGGUUUAGACAAGCAGUCUGCAAAGUAAAACUUGUUUAGAGUCCAAACUCUUACUAAAGCUUUUAAAAAGAAAAAAUGGUUGAAUUUUGAGAAAUAUCCACAACAGGGGAGCGAGACCUCUGAAAAAUGUAUAUUUUCUCUGAAUUCAUAGAAUAAUGUGAAGAUUCUGGGAAAAGUUGGGAUUCUGAGAUUAAAACGUAAAUCUUUCUAAUCAUAAUUCUGGCAGUUUUUGUGUCCUUCUGCUGUGGAAAGUCGUGCAACAUGAAGAUACUGAGAAGAUGCUUACAACCUGUAUUUUUAUUCCAUCCAUAAAUAAAAUCAUGAGCUAUUUUUUUAAUCCAAAUUUGAUACAAAGGGCCAUCGUUGGUUCCAGACCCGUUCUAGAACAUUCCUCUAAUCUUAAAGUCAUCAUCAGUUUCUUCCUUUUAACAAAUAUUUAUUUGUUCAAAUAUUUAAUAUUUAUAACUGGAAUAUUUGUUCCUCCCUUUCCCACUGCAGUUAGUCCUGUCCUGCAACCCUGUUUUUGCAGCUUAGUGAAGCCAACCAUCACUAACCUGGGGGUGGUUUUGGACCCAGAGAUGCGGAUGGACUCCCACAUUAGCCAGGGAAGGACCUGAUUGGUGUCCAGAACCUGUUGAAGAAGCACCAGGCUCUGCAGGCUGAGAUCACAGGUCAUGAACCUCGCAUCAAGGCUGUCACCCAGAAAGGAGAGACCAUGGUGGAGGAAGGUCACUUCGCUGGUGAGGAGGUGAAGACUAAGCUGUCAGAGCUUCAUGGACGUUGGGACACGCUAAAGGCCAAGGCGUCCCAGAGGAGGCAGGACCUGGAGGACUCUCUGCAGGCCCAGCAGUACUUUGCGGAUGCUAAUGAGGCCGAGUCCUGGAUGAGGGAGAAGGAGCCCAUCGUUGGAAGUCCAGACUAAGGGAAAGACGAGGACUUGGCCGAGGCUCUCCUGAAGAAGCACGAGGCCCUGAUGUCGGACCUGUCGGCUUAUGGCAGCAGCAUCCAGGCCCUGAAGGAGCAGGCCCAGUCCUGCAGGGACCUGAAGGCCAACGAGUCCCGCCUGAGGGACAUCAACAAGGUGGCAUCUGAACUGGAGUCAGAAGGUCUGAUGGCUGAGGAGGCUCCUAUGGUUCAGGCUCAGCAACAAGAACAUCUGGGUUCUGCUCCUGGAAAGGACGAAGCCGACUCUUAACACGGCGUCACCCUGGAAGACCGUACGGUUGGGCGUUCAGACGACGGCUAACUUUAAUUCCAUCAAGGUAAGAGGAAGCUCUUCCCUUCCUGUCUGAGCGAUCCGUCUCCAGGUUUCCUCGUCCGGCGUCCAGCCCGCUGGCGUCCACCUUCAUCUCACCUUCAUCUCAUCUCACUUCAUUUAUAGUGCAAUACUUUCACAUUAUCAUUUUCCCACACUUCUGUAUACCUGUAUUUUGUUGUUUUUCAAUAAAGAAUGACAAAUUA